GACUCAGGGACCUCCUCCAUCAGUUCCGUGGUAGAGAAUGGAGCACUUCCGAACCCCCCAGAGGAUUGGCUGCCCUGCGCUUCCUACACAGGUACGUGGCUGGAUUUGCUUUGCUCAAGUCUACAAAUCAAUUUAGAAGCACCCUAAUCCUCCCCGGGAUGACAAACAAGAAGAAGCAACACAGAACACCAGUGAGAAAACAGCCCUGAGGUCAGGAAACCAUGCUAAGUCUGCUACCAAUCAGUAACAUGAACUUGAAAAGUCACUUAAACUCUGUGGGCUUCAGUCUCCCCUGUGAAAUAGGUAGGUGGGACUUGAUCAACUUGCAGGAAAGGAAGUCUUUCCAGCACAGAGAAAUGGGGGUGGCUUUGCCAGCAUAGCCCACACAGCCACGCAUCUCAUGGUGUUCAACCUUCCAGCACUCAGAAUCCCCUUGUUACAUGAAUACCUGGGUUAUCAGCAAAAUAUGAGCCAAUAACUUGCUAAUAACAGAAGAGUCACUUUUGAGGUAUCAG
rnacentral:lncRNA from 1 species